rnacentral:misc_RNA from 1 species
AAGUCGUAACAAGGUUUCCGUAGGUGAACCUGCGGAAGGAUCAUUACCACGUUUCCACGUAUCCACGCACUGAGCACUGUUUUCGUUUUCUCCUCCUGCUCCGGCAGGAGUCCCCCGGGUGUACUCUUGUCUCGACCGAAUAGUUGAGAUGUUGCGCCCUCUACUCACCCCUUUUACCCCUUUUUUGCUAGUUGACUUUGAAAAAUGACACUGCCUGUGUUUGCUGCUUCGGCUGCUGCGCUUGCUGUGCCUCGUUUUCUCUAUUUAUUUAUUGAAACGUCAUUACAACUCUUAGCAAUGGAUAUCUAGGUUCUC